rnacentral:ncRNA from 1 species
CAAAGCGCCGGAGCCGCGCGGCGCGCGGCGGACGAGGCGAGGGGAACAUCGAACGGUUCGGCGGAUGCCCCUCCGGCGGGCGCCGGCCCGUCGUCAGGCGGUCUACAAAUAUGCGGGCGACCGCAAAACAAAGGG